GCACCAAUUGAACCUACACAACUCAAGUUACAGCUACCCAAACCUGUUGGACUCACAUCCAACCCUGCAGGUCACCAAAGGCAGCAAAUCUAACCUCAAUUCCAAUGGCACAAAUCACUUCAAUUCCUCAUCAAAUAUAGCCAAGUGGUCACUAAUUGACCAUUACAACAUUAAUUUAUGUUCAAUUGUAGCAACCCCUAAAUUUGAGUUUCAAAACCCUAACCCUAAAUGUCCAAAGUGCUAAUUCUUGCACUAAACUUGCAAUUUAAUGGUUUAAGUGUUAUAUUAACGUCAAGGGCAGCCUAUACACUCAUUUAUAUCAAGAAAAUAAUCACAACCAUAAGAGGACCAUGGUUGCUGAAAUUUGGGUGUAGCAUACAAGGGUUUUCUUUACAAAUUUCUUACAAUUAUCAACACAAUUCAACCCCAUAAUUAAAAGAAAAAAAGAAGUGGUUGGACACUAACCUCUUUGAGUAGAAAUUUUUCCAAGCUUAAACUUCAUUUUUUCUUCUUCUAAUUGCUGCCUAAGUCUUGCUCUAGUGGUAAGGGUCAUUUUUAGUGAAGGGAGAGUAAGAUUUUAUGGUGAAAUCAAGUGGGAAUUGAAGUUUAGGUGAGGCUUCAAUGGUGGAAAGGGCAAAGGGAGAGAGAAUCGGCUGGCUUAGGAGGAAGAAUGAGUAGUUUUUUUUCUUUCCAAUUUGUUGUCCAUUUACUCUUUUAAUUGGGUUUAGAGAUAGGUAUCACAAGGUGAUUGGGUGGAAGUGGUUUAGUGACAUCAUAGUGAUGUCAAAAUUCAAAUUUUCA
rnacentral:misc_RNA from 1 species